rnacentral:rRNA from 1 species
UUCGACACACUAUCAUUAACUGAAUCCAUAGGUUAAUGAGGCGAACCGGGGGAACUGAAACAUCUAAGUACCCCGAGGAAAAGAAAUCAACCGAGAUUCCCCCAGUAGCGGCGAGCGAACGGGGAGCAGCCCAGAGCCUGAAUCAGUGUGUGUGUUAGUGGAAGCGUCUGGAAAGGCGCGCGAUACAGGGUGACAGCCCCGUACACAAAAAUGCACAUACUGUGAGCUCGAUGAGUAGGGCGGGACACGUGGUAUCCUGUCUGAAUAUGGGGGGACCAUCCUCCAAGGCUAAAUACUCCUGACUGACCGAUAGUGAACCAGUACCGUGAGGGAAAGGCGAAAAGAACCCCGGCGAGGGGAGUGAAAAAGAACCUGAAACCGUGUACGUACAAGCAGUGGGAGCCUCUUUAUGGGGUGACUGCGUACCUUUUGUAUAAUGGGUCAGCGACUUAUAUUCUGUAGCAAGGUUAACCGAAUAGGGGAGCCGAAGGGAAACCGAGUCUUAACUGGGCGUUAAGUUGCAGGGUAUAGACCCGAAACCCGGUGAUCUAGCCAUGGGCAGGUUGAAGGUUGGGUAACACUAACUGGAGGACCGAACCGACUAAUGUUGAAAAAUUAGCGGAUGACUUGUGGCUGGGGGUGAAAGGCCAAUCAAACCGGGAGAUAGCUGGUUCUCCCCGAAAGCUAUUUAGGUAGCGCCUCGUGAAUUCAUCUCCGGGGGUAGAGCACUGUUUCGGCAAGGGGGUCAUCCCGACUUACCAACCCGAUGCAAACUGCGAAUACCGGAGAAUGUUAUCACGGGAGACACACGGCGGGUGCUAACGUCCGUCGUGAAGAGGGAAACAACCCAGACCGCCAGCUAAGGUCCCAAAGUCAUGGUUAAGUGGGAAACGAUGUGGGAAGGCCCAGACAGCCAGGAUGUUGGCUUAGAAGCAGCCAUCAUUUAAAGAAAGCGUAAUAGCUCACUGGUCGAGUCGGCCUGCGCGGAAGAUGUAACGGGGCUAAACCAUGCACCGAAGCUGCGGCAGCGACACUAUGUGUUGUUGGGUAGGGGAGCGUUCUGUAAGCCUGUGAAGGUGU